rnacentral:rRNA from 1 species
GAUGAACGCUAGCGGCAGGCUUAAUACAUGCAAGUCGAGGGGGCAGCAAUGUGACCGGCGAACGGGUGCGUAACGCGUAUGCAACCUACCUACAUCAGGGGGAUAGCCCUAGGCAACUGGGAUUAAAACCGCAUAAUAUAAGCUACGUCAUCCCCGAUUAUUGAAAUAUUUAUAUGAUGUAGAUGAGCAUGCGUAGGAUUGGCUAGUUGGUAAGGUAACGGCUUACCAAGGCUACGAUCCUUAGGGGCUCUGAGAGGAGUAUCCCCACACUGGCACUGAGAUACGGGCCAAACUCCUACGGGAGGCAGCAGUAGGGAAUAUUGGGCAAUGGAGGCAACUCUGACCCAGCCAUGCCGCGUGCAGGAAGACGGUCCUCUGGAUUGUAAACUGCUUUUGAAUGGGAAGAAUGUGCUUCUUGCGAGGAGUAAUGCCGGUACCAUUAGAAUAAGCCACGGCUAACUACGUGCCAGCCGCCGCUGUAA